GCCAGGAGGGGGCUCUGCAUCGGCACAGGCGGCGGACAGACUCACAGCCCCGUUCCUGGCCUGGCCGUCCUCCCAGGCCCGCCCUCCCAGUUCCCGCCAGGAGAUGAGAAGGGCUCCAGUCCCUGUCCUCUGUUCUGUGGCUCAAACAUGUUGUUGAACUCGGA